AUUGAACGCUGGCGGCAGGCCUAACACAUGCAAGUCGAGCGGAGCGGCGGACGGGUGAGUAAUGCCUAGGAAUCUGCCUGGUAGUGGGGGAUAACGUCCGGAAACGGGCGCUAAUACCGCAUACUAUCAGAUGAGCCUAGGUCGGAUUAGCUAGUGGGGGGGGUAAUGGCUCACCUAGGCGACGAUCCCUAGCUGGUCUGAGAGGAGGACCAGCCACACUGGAACGGAGACACGGUCCAGACUCCUACGGGAGGCAGCAGUGGGUAAGAUUGAACAAUGGGCGCAAGCCUGAUGCAGCCAUGCCGCGUGUGUGAAGAAGGCCUGCGGGUUGUAAAGCACUUUCAGCGGGGAGGCGUUACCCGCAGAAGAAGCACCGGCUAACUCCGUGCCAGCAGCCGCGGUAAUAC
rnacentral:rRNA from 1 species